UACAAAAGUUUAUCCAUAAAAUGAUUCUGAUACUGAUCUAAUUGAUAUAUAUAGAUAUGGACUAAAAGGAUUUAUAAUAAAAUUAUUUCGGAGAAUAUUCACUUACUUUUCCACACACUCUCCGAAUUAUGUGUAGUCCUGAAGCAAUCUAAAAACUAAUUAUAUGAGCUAUAAAAAUUAAUUAAGUUUUAAUUAAAACUUAAAUGUAGCUUUAUCGCAAAAUUUCGACACCAUCGAAUGCAGAAACACUAAGAACUGAUGAAUUGAUGGAAUAUCUACUUUGACUUAGGUUCAAUUCUAAUUGAUGAGUAAAAGUUUCAUAACCUUUGGACUUCUAAAAAUUAACAUAUUAAACUUCAGUUUAAUGGAUGUCAUCGUGAAAAUAAUCAAGUACAAGUGAGAAAAAGCAAAACAUCGGAAUUAUAAAUGGCGAUAUCUCCACAAAAUAUUUUUCGAUGAGGUUCGCAGAGUAUUAAUGACUACAAUAUUACUGACUGCUCGAGAACUGGUAGUAGAACAUGAAGACAGGUUUAAUGUAUUUCUUCCAAUCCUUUAGUGGAGUGUAAACUGUUGCAGACUUCAAAAGAUUGAAAUCAAAACAAUCCUCUUUUUCCAACGUAAAAUGCAACAAAUUUGUGAAGUUAAAGAAGAAAUAAGGUAUAUUUAAACAACCUAAUCUGUAAGAUAGAUAGUUCUGGAGAUUAUCAGGUCAUCAUGUCUAUUUUAAAGACCAUAUAAUAUAUUCAAAUAUAUUUGGGGAUCUGUAAUGUCAGAACAUUUACUUCUACUUUAAGGUUAAAGUUGGGAAUGCUGCUGUUCUUAGAAAUCUACUAGAAAUGUUUGACUUGCGUAUAAUGGUAAGACAAAGUUGUUAGGCAGAAGUCCAGAAAUUUAUUACAAAGAACUUUUCUUUUAAAAGUUUGUAAAAUUCGACGGUGCCAGUAAAAAAUUCAACGUCUUAGUAUUUACAAGAUGAAUUUUUCGUCACACAAAUGUAAUAUGGAACUGAAUAUUACACUAUCUUUGUUUGGCUUGAUAUUUGCUAUAUGGCACUGGCGCCAUAGUCCAACAAAAGCCAUUAAAGAGAAACUUACAAAAUGUAUGAAAACCGGAAAAGUGACGAAAGUGGUAAGCCCAGUAUCGUCAACGUUCUUCAAAUAUUUAAAAAUGAGUUACUGGCUUUUAAAUUUCUUUAAAAUCUUGCAAGUAUUUUAAUUUGGAAAGGACCUUAACACUCAACUUUAUUGAAUUUUAUAAUCAAUUUUAUAUUAUAAUUAAAUUAGUCUUAAGCAACAAAAAAAUAUGUU